rnacentral:rRNA from 1 species
GACGAACGCUGGCGGCGUGCCUAAUACAUGCAAGUCGAACGCUUCUUUCCUCCCGAGUGCUUGCACUCAAUUGGAAAGAGGAGUGGCGGACGGGUGAGUAACACGUGGGUAACCUACCCAUCAGAGGGGGACAACACUUGGAAACAGGUGCUAAUACCGCAUAACAGUUUAUGCCGCAUGGCAUAAGAGUGAAAGGCGCUUUCGGGUGUCGCUGAUGGAUGGACCCGCGGUGCAUUAGCUAGUUGGUGAGGUAACGGCUCACCAAGGCCACGAUGCAUAGCCGACCUGAGAGGGUGAUCGGCCACACUGGGACUGAGACACGGCCCAGACUCCUACGGGAGGCAGCAGUAGGGAAUCUUCGGCAAUGGACGAAAGUCUGACCGAGCAACGCCGCGUGAGUGAAGAAGGUUUUCGGAUCGUAAAACUCUGUUGUUAGAGAAGAACAAGGACGUUAGUAACUGAACGUCCCCUGACGGUAUCUAACCAGAAAGCCACGGCUAACUACGUG